AGGCUCCCAUGAUGUUUAGCACUGGGCUCCGAACAUCCUUGAGGACACAGUGCCCCUCCAGGAUCUUUGACACCUGGAGGGUCUGAGGGGCUC